rnacentral:lncRNA from 1 species
CCGGGGGGGCGGCUCCGCGUGGGGUUCGGCGACCGUCAGGUGGAAGACGCGGCGUUCGUGCAGGCCACAGUAAUGGUGGUGCAGGUGGCAGGAGUAGGUGCCCUCGUCGGCGACCUCCAGCGGCUCGAUACGCAGUGAGAAGUCACCGCGCUCAAAGGCAUCCGCGCCCACAGCCACGCGGUCGCGCAGAAAAAGGGGCCCGUAGGCGCGGCGCUCGCCCGACGCGUAGAGGUCCAGCAGGCGGUCCGCGCGGUCGUGCGGGACCCCGGGCGGCUGCCGGUCCCAGUGCACCACCUGUUGAGCCUCCUCCACGUGCCGGUCGGUCCACACGUGCCCGCGGUUCACGCAGGCGGACGGCCAGGCUCUCGUAGAGGUGGCAGUAGUGAUGGUGCAGGUUGCAGGUGUACAGCCCCGCGUCCGUCUCCUCCACCGCUGCGCACCCAGGAGGAAGCCGCGCGUGAGCCUUGCGGUGCCCCCG